GAUGAACGCUAGCGGCGGGCUUGAUACAUGCAAGUCAAGGGGUAGCAAUACACCGGCGUACGGGUGCGUAACGCGUAUGGAACCUGCCCUUAUCUGGGGGAUAACUCGGGGAAACUCGAGCUAAUACCGCAUAAGAUAGUAGAAUGGCAUCAUUCAGCUAUUAAAGAUUUAUCGGAUAAGGAUGGCCAUGCGUAAGAUUAGAUAGUUGGUGGGGCAACGGCUCACCAAGUCUACGAUCUUUAGGGGCUCUGAGAGGAGAAUCCCCCACACUGGCACUGAGAUACGGGCCAGACUCCUACGGGAGGCAGCAGUAGGGAAUAUUGGGCAAUGGGCGGAAGCCUGACCCAGCCACGCCGCGUGCAGGAAGAAGGCCCUCUGGGUUGUAAACUGCUUUUGAUUGGGAAGAAAGCAUCUCAUGCGUGGGAUUUUGACGGUACCAAUCGAAUAAGCCACGGCUAACUACGUGCCAGCCGCCGCCGUAACAC
rnacentral:rRNA from 1 species